rnacentral:rRNA from 1 species
UACGGGGGGGGCAAGCGUUGUUCGGAAUUACUGGGCGUAAAGGGCGCGUAGGCGGUUCGCUAAGUUGGAUGUGAAAACUCUGGGCUCAACCCAGAGCCUGCAUCCAAAACUGGCGGGCUAGAGUUCUGGAGGGGGUAGCGGAAUUCCUGGUGUAGCGGUGAAAUGCGUAGAUAUCAGGAGGAACACCGGUGGCGAAGGCGGGUCUCUGGGCCGAUAUUGACGCUGAGGAGCGAAAGCGUGGGGAGCGAACAGG